rnacentral:tRNA from 1 species
GUCUCCGUAGCUCAGCAGGAUAGAGCGACCGCCUCCUAAGCGGUAGGUAGCGGAGCGUUUAGCGGAGCGGCGCCACGGGAGUGAAUGACAGUCCGGGGGACUGUCAGAGCCG